rnacentral:rRNA from 1 species
GAUGAACGCUGACAGAAUGCUUAACACAUGCAAGUCUUUGGCGAAGCUGUGCUUGCACAGCCUAGCCAAGGCGGACGGGUGAGUAACGCGUAAGGAACUUGCCCUGCAGUCAGGGAUAACAGACGGAAACGACUGAUAAGACCUGGUAAAGUCAGGCGGACUCAUGUCCAGCCUGAUGAAAAGAGAUGCUGCAGGAGAGCCUUGCGUCCUAUUAGCUUGUUGGUGGGGUAACGGCCCACCAAGGCGAUGAUAGGUAGCCGGCCUGAGAGGGUGGACGGCCACAAGGGGACUGUGAUACGGCCCUUACUCCUACGGGAGGCAGCAGUGGGGAAUAUUGGACAAUGGGGGCAACCCUGAUCCAGCAAUUCUGUGUGCACGAUGAAGGUUUUCGGAUUGUAAAGUGCUUUCAGCAGGGAAGAAAAAAAUGACGGUACCUGCAGAAGAAGCGACGGCUAAAUACGUG